UCUUCUUCUUUGUUUCUUAUUUCUCUUUCCUUCUUUUUUUUUGUUCUUCUCCUCUGCGAAUUCGAGAGAUCGAAUGAGGGAUCUAUGAAAAGUAGAAGGUGGAACGGAUCAUGGUUAGCUGUUAGUGAUGUUUGUUGUUAUCCGUUGAUGAUGCAUACUCGAAGGAGAAAGUGAAAUAGAAGUUAGGGUUUCUGAGGUUGAAGUUCUUGAGGAAUUGAUGAUGAUAUGGUACUGUUGAAGGAUAAGUAACAAUUGGGUUGUGGUUUAAUUGGAACCUUGAAGUUGUUUCAGUGACGAAUCAGUGAUGAAUCGAGUAAUUAAGGUUUCUGAAUUUAGUUCUGAGAAUUCGAUUAAGGAUGAACAAGAAGAAGUUAAGAAAUGGGUUUACUCUUAAUUAGUGUUUGAUGGAAGUUGUGGGUUUGUUCUGAAGAUUUAUUAAGAAUUACAGAAUUAGGUUUCCUCUGUAAAUCAAAGAUGGUGAUGAAGAUUUUUGGGUAUUUAUUGUUUGACAUGAGUGUGCAAUUGAGGCAAAGGAAGGAAGAAUUCGACCUCAGUUGCCUGAGCAACACUGAUUUGAGGGAAUGAUUGGUGGUUGUGGUUAUGAGCUAUAUGAGAUGUUGCAGGAAGUGUGUGUUAUCUAAGUUGAGAUUUAGCUGAGUUGUUGUAGUUGAUUCAUGGAAUUACAGGGUUGAGUAUAAAAGAGAUAAGUUUCAUAGGAGUUACAGAUUGGUGGUGGUGGUUAUCUUAAUAUUGAAAUGGUGGUGUUGGUGUCAACUGUGAUGUUGAAGCUGCAGGGGACAUUAGUGAAUUGAUUGAUUCCAGUGAAGACAUGAAUGAAACUGAGAUAUGCUUUAGAGGAAUGCUUUGAAGUUGCAAUGGAUAUAAGUGGAUGUUAGAGACGUACUGUUGGUGGCUCGUGUUGUUUGUGUUGGCUCUAAAGUGUGCAUAACAUGUGGUGGCAGUUGAGGAUGGUUGAAUUGGUAGUGCUGAUGAGUUGGUAUGGAAGUGAACUAUAAUGGGUGCAGGUGAGGAUUGUGUUAGAUAUGAAAAUGUGAUAUGAUGAAUUUUGUGUUUUUUGCGGGAGUUGAGACGUUGUUGGAUAUAGCCAGUGAUAUCAGAUUGAUUGGCAGUUCAUUGAGGGACAUGAUCUGGGUUUGGUAGUGGUGCUGUAAUGAAGCUACAGGGUUAGUGAUGAACAAGUUGUUUGGGAUGUGUUGUAUGGAAUUGGUUGAAGUGAUAAUGAUGUUGUUGUUAGAGAGUUAGGUUGAGUGUUGAAGGUGUAACAGAGAUGAUAGUUGCAGGUCUAUAGUUAGUGAUAGAUGUGAAAGCCUAAAGCUGCAAUUGCAGGUAAUUACGAUGUAAUUGUGUUUGUAAUUUCAUUCUGAAAUUUUCUUAAGAAUUUAUGAGUUGAAGUUGUAUUUGAGUUA